rnacentral:rRNA from 1 species
UACGAUGAAGAGUUUGAUCCUGGCUCAGGAUGAACGCUAGCGGCAGGCUUAACACAUGCAAGUCGAGGGGUAUGUUUCUUCGGAGACAGAGACCGGCGCACGGGUGCGUAACGCGUAUGCAAUCUACCUUUCACAGAGGGAUAGCCCAGAGAAAUUUGGAUUAAUACCUCAUAGUAUAGUACCUUGGCAUCAAGGAACUAUUAAAGUCACAACGGUGAAAGAUGAGCAUGCGUCCCAUUAGCUAGUUGGUAUGGUAACGGCAUACCAAGGCAACGAUGGGUAGGGGUCCUGAGAGGGAGAUCCCCCACACUGGUACUGAGACACGGACCAGACUCCUACGGGAGGCAGC